AAAAAAGAAAAAUGGAUGAAAACACAUGAAAGAGGCCCAAAUUAAAAACAACUCUUUCUUUUUACUCUGCUCAGAUUGAAGAAUUAGAAAAGCUCCAUCUGAAUCUCCUAUCCUCUUCCCCGAUUUCCAGCUUCAUACAAUCUUCAAAUCUAGGUAUGUCUUUCUUACUUUCCAGGUGGUUUUCCGAGCAUGUUUUCUUGUUUUGCCCCUCCUUUUUCCUUCAAUUUACAGCUCUGUUACCCUUUCCCAAUUUGUUGUUUGAUAGGCGCUAAUCAGUAAGCAAUCUCCCUGUUCUUGUUGUAAUCUUUCUCUUUUUUAUUAUUUCUUCUUUUUCGGUUAGAUGCAUAAAAUUGGAAAUUGAAUUUUUUUUAGUUGUUUCUCCAUUUUUUUAAAGCUGUUGUUUUUAAUUACAGACAAUAGAAAAAAUUUGGAAUUGAUUAUCUUCAUGGGUAUGUGAUGACUUAUGUUCAUCUAACUUCCAUUAUAUGAUUGCAUCUAUUUAUUUGUGAUAUAAGAAACGUGGGUUUUCUUUGUUUAGAUCAAAAAGCUUGAAAAUUGGUAAAGAAAAAGAUACUUGCAAUAUUUUGCUAUGAUGUGAGCUGUGUUUGAUUAGGGGCUUUUGAAUACGUCAUAGACUUAUGGAGCUACUUUUAUAGUCACUUGUGUGUAUAUGCCUAACUGAUUUUCAUGAUUUUGGGUUUUUGGAGGAGUAUAGGCCGAUUUAUUAUUAGGUCUUUGAUUUCGUGUAUAAGUCAUAUGCUUCAUUUGAUUCAGUGUAUAAUCACUUACUCCUAUAGAAGGUAUUGAUUAGAACCUGGAUAUUUAUAUCUCCUUAAAGAGGUAUAGUGAGCAAAAAAAUAACCAGGAUAGGCAGGGCAUUUUUAUUCUGUUUAAUCAAGAGAACACCCAAGAGGAGUUUCAAUCAUUAAGAGGAAGUCCAACUCGAGAAUGAAUUAUCCAAUCAUACUUCUAUGGUGAUUAACUAAUUAUAACAAGUUCUGGCAACUUAAAGACAAAAAUAGUGCGCUCUUCAUGAACUAACCGACCAAAAUUCCUUUUGUUAGAAAUAAGGUAGAUUUCUAUAGAAGACCCGAAACCCAAGAAUGAUCGCAACUUUUUCCAGUAUGCGUCAGAUAACUUGUAAGAUUUAGAAUUUCUCUGCCUCAAUGUAUUACGUCUUUUUCUCUGCUGUGCACCCACUCCAUUAUGUGUUACAAAACUAAAUAUAAUAUGCUUGCUAGGACUAACCUUAAUAAAAUUUGACUCCAAGACUCCCUCUUGCCACAGAUUCAGUUAAACAAAAUUGUUAAACUAUUGAGAGUCUAUACAUUCUUACAAGUGAGGAAAACUAUCACCGGAAACUCAGAUGCUUAUUGAGAUGUAUCUUAAUGAAUUGUCCAACUUUCAAGAUCGAUUUGUAGUUAUAAUCACGUCUAAUUUUGUUGAAUGAUGAUUUUUUUUUUCAAGGGAUUGAUAAUUUCGACUCGUUUGUAGUGGAGUUAUAUCUGCAGUGUAUCACAUUUUUUUAGUAUAAUUAUGGAGAAUUUUUUUCAGGGGGAGUGAAAGGUAUACAAAUGCAUAGUUGACACAAAAGCUCAUUAAUUCUGUUUGAUAGACUUGUGAAUUUCAUAUAGCUUUUAAUACAUUUAUAUGUCGCAAAUUUGUAUGAUACAAGUUUUUCCUCCAACUCAAUAUUGGUGGUUUAUUUGUUAAUUUGUUCAGCCAGGGAAGGGAUGGAACCAUCAAGUAUUGGGAUGUUGGAGAAAGGGGGGGGGGGGGGGAGGUUGUCCAUGUACUUAUCUAUCUCUAUAAUGCCGUUGUCCAUCUCAAGUUGGGAUGUGAGUUUGUGUUGUUUCAGUACAAUAUAUAGCCUGCUUAGAACCUGACUUUUGACAAUGCCUAUUAGAAAUAGUUAAUGGCUUCCUUCCUAUGUACACUGAGCUCUAGGUGCCAUGUACUUAAUGAAAAAAUAUUUUGUUUAUUGAACAUAAAUAUGUUAUAUUUGCAUAACACUACAAAAUUACCAAAUUUAUUCUAUGAAAAUAAAUUGUCGAAGAUAAGAAUUAUAAUUUAAUUUCAUCAUCCAAAGUUAAAAUAACUUGGAAAAUUGCAUCUAAUAAAAUAUACUACAGUAUAGCUUCGGGAAAAAAAGGUUACCCAUAAUCAUUAUUAUGCCCUUGUUUGAGCCCCAUUCUUAUCAAAAAAUAUGAGAAAUGUGUGGUUAAAAAAUCAUGUUUUUAUGUAUAAUAUUAUUUUAUUGAAAAAUGUGUGGUUGAAGUGAGAUCAAAUCAAUAUUUGAGAAUGUAUUUUGAUGGGAAAAAUGAGGUAUAUGGUAACUGUGUGACAUGGACUGAAGUUGAUGCUAGUAAUUUUUUAAUCUUUAAGUUAUAGAAUCUGUUUCACAGUGUGGUGAUAGAAGCAAAAAUACUUCGGUGGCCCUGAAUUUCUUCAAAUGGCAAAUCUCCAUGAGAAGAUCAAAUUUGCACAACCAGAUUGUGAAUGGAAAACACAAGUUAUGGAUCCACGACAUGUUUUCUACACAUUCUUUUGCAUCAGAAUAGAGGGAAUGUUAACAUCACAAAAAAAAAAUAAAAAUAAAAAAAAAAUAAAAAAAAAGGAAUAGAGGUGAUGUUAUUUUUUUGGAUAUGAUACUUGAUUGUAAGUAUAAUAGCAUCAAAUGUGUUAUUUGUAUCAAAAGGACUAUAGGCUUUUGAAGUAAUUUGUACGCUUGAUGUUUUAAUUAAGACAUUUUACAUUUCAUCAACAUGUUUCACGUUAUUGAAUUUCGAUUUAUGUUUCUAUUUUGGUUUGGUCAUUCUGUAUUUAUGCACGAUUAAAAACUAUCACCCGACU
rnacentral:lncRNA from 1 species